rnacentral:lncRNA from 1 species
CACACCAUGGUUCAGACACCAACUUCCCUGAUGCGACCAACUCAUCAGUUCAGUGAGCAUUGUAUCCUCUUACUGUUGCCAUAAUUACAUGCAUUUCACUUUUGCAUUAUAUGUGUACUAUUGCAUGGUAGUUGAACACGAAUUUGGGUUACUUGACAUCGUAAAAUAUGGUGGCUACUCUUGGAUCCGGUGAAUCUGGUGGUUCUGCUUAUAUUAUGUAUUGUGGGACUAUUGAGUUCACAACGCUUUCCAAAUACUCAUAUGUGAUUUCUUUUUGAUUUAUACUCGUGCAGAAAAAAUCUUGAUUCUUGAAUUGUUGAAGGCAGCUGUAGCUAAGGCUGGUUACACUAGAAGAAUUUUUUUGUCUAUACAUAGUUCAUGAUUCAGCCCUUGUGUACUAAUUCAUGUGUGACGGUUGGUCAUUGAACUGGAUGUUGCUGCUUCUGAAUGUUACGGUGAAAAGGAUCAGACUCAUCAGCCUCGAUUUUCUUGUGUCUUGAAAUGCAGGUUUGGUUCAUCUAACACUAUAUUACGUCCAUUUGUCCAGUUCAAUUUUUUUUACCAUCUUGCAAUGCGAGGUACAAGAGAGCAUGUGUUGUUCUAUGUCUUAUAUCCUGUUAAAUCCUGUAGGGGAACGACAUUGUAAGCUUGGUUAGUUUGAUGUCCUACGGAGAAGCAAAAUUGGUUGUGCCCACUGCCAGAAGAUUCAUCUUUGUACUCUCUUCUCCAUUUAUCAGUGCAACGAGAGGCAGAGUUAGUCAUGGUGAUGAUCAUAUUGUAUUAUUGUGAUGCUUGCAGACUGGGAGUGUAUUUAUACUUCAUGCUUAUGAGUUAUGAUGAAUCAUUUCGAUGGCAUUACAUAGGUCAGUGGGAAAAGGUCAUUAGGGACUAGCAUGUUUCACUGUUGUGAUUACAAACUAAAACUUGUGCAAGUAUGAUAAAUGGGUGCAUUGAUCUCUUUUUUGUUGUAGUGCAACACCUUGGAGAUGCACACAAUUUGAUAUUACAGUUCUAUAACAUCUCGGAGAUGCACACAA